rnacentral:miRNA from 1 species
UAUGUGUGUGUGUGUGUGUGUGUGUGUGUAUAUAUAUAUACACACACACACACACAUACAUACACAUAUA